UACGAAGGGGGCGAGCGUUGUUCGGAUUUACUGGGCGUAAAGGGCGCGCAGGCGGCUCAUUUUGUCAGGCGUGAAAGCCCCGGGCUUAACCUGGGAACUGCGUUUGAUACGGAUGGGCUAGAGUUCGGGAGAGGAGAGUGGAAUUCCUGGUGUAGCGGUGAAAUGCGCAGAUAUCAGGAGGAACACCGAUGGCGAAGGCAGCUCGCUGGGACGGUACUGACGCUGAGGCGCGAAAGCGUGGGGAGCAAACAGG
rnacentral:rRNA from 1 species